CUUCGGGGAGAACCUAGCGGCGGACGGGUGAGUAACACGUGGGCAACCUGCCUUAUAGAGGGGAAUAGCCUUCCGAAAGGAAGAUUAAUACCGCAUAACAUUACAUUUUCGCAUGAAGAAGUAAUUAAAGGAGCAAUCCGCUAUAAGAUGGGCCCGCGGCGCAUUAGCUAGUUGGUGAGGUAACGGCUCACCAAGGCGACGAUGCGUAGCCGACCUGAGAGGGUGAUCGGCCACAUUGGGACUGAGACACGGCCCAGACUCCUACGGGAGGCAGCAGUGGGGAAUAUUGCACAAUGGGGGAAACCCUGAUGCAGCAACGCCGCGUGAGUGAUGAAGGUCUUCGGAUCGUAAAGCUCUGUCUUCAGGGACGAUAAUGACGGUACCUGAGGAGGAAGCCACGGCUAACUACGUGCCAGCAGCCGCGGUAAUACGUAGGUGGCGAGCGUUGUCCGGAUUUACUGGGCGUAAAGGGAGCGUAGGCGGAUUUUUAAGUGAGAUGUGAAAUACCCGGGCUCAACUUGGGUGCUGCAUUUCAAACUGGAAGUCUAGAGUGCAGGAGAGGAGAGUGGAAUUCCUAGUGUAGCGGUGAAAUGCGUAGAGAUUAGGAAGAACACCAGUGGCGAAGGCGACUCUCUGGACUGUAACUGACGCUGAGGCUCGAAAGCGUGGGGAGCAACAGGAUAGAUACCCUGGUAGUCACGCCGUAACGAUGAUACUAGGUGUAGGGGUGUCAUGACUCUGUGC
rnacentral:rRNA from 1 species